rnacentral:tRNA from 1 species
GCCAAGUUAGCUUUUGAGGUAAGGUGUCUGCCUUGUAAGCACUGGGUCGCGGGUUCGAUUCCCGCCCGGGGUG